UACGUAGGGCGCAAGCGUUGUCCGGAAUUAUUGGGCGUAAAGAGCUCGUAGGCGGCCUGUCGCGUCCGUUGUGAAAACUCGAGGCUCAACCUCGGGCUUGCAGUGGAUACGGGCAGACUAGAGUGCGGUAGGGGGAGACUGGAAUUCCUGGUGUAGCGGUGGAAUGCGCAGAUAUCAGGAGGAACACCGAUGGCGAAGGCAGGUCUCUGGGCCGCAACUGACGCUGAGGAGCGAAAGCAUGGGGAGCGAACAGG
rnacentral:rRNA from 1 species